UUUUUGUAGGACGGUUUGAGAAAUGGCGCUAGUUUUCUCACUCAACUGUAAUUUCUCCCAUAAACCCUUUUCUCCCACAAACCCUAAUUUCAAAUUGAACUCCUCCAAAUUCUCAUUAAUAUCUAAGCGCCAUCAAUAUUUUCUCUCCUCUUCCAACAGUAAAUGUCAGUGUCGAAGGCGUUUCCGUGUUGUUAAUGAGUUGGAAAAAGAUUCAGGUCAGAACGAUGAUGAAGUGAAUAAUUUAGGAGUCAAUGCUGCAUUGUCUAUGCUGAAGUUCUACAAAAGGGAAAUCUCGCCAUUGUUGCCAAAUAGUUGUCGGUUUGUCCCAACAUGUAGUGAGUAUUCGAUGAUUGCUUACAAGAAGUAUGGAGUUGCGAAGGGAACCAUAUUGACUACUUGGCGUCUUUGUCGUUGCAAUCCUCUUGGUGGAUCUGGUUUUGAUCCCCCAAGAUGGUUUAAUGAGCCAAGUCCUCCGGAGUAGUGAAUUCAUUUCGAUUGUUGAUGGCACAGCACAAGCAACUCGUGCACUCUUUGAACUCUUCCAAUUUGAAUUCUAAUGCUUCUGUGGCUUCUGGCGCGUUAUCUAUGUUCUGAGGAAAGAGGGUUCAGCUUUUAGCAAUAGCUUGAUUGCAUUGACAGGCUCAUGGUUUUGUUGAUUUUCUGAAGUCGUACCUCUGAUAAACUGCUGCCAUGUGUUGGCUAAACAUUGUCCGAAAUUGUAGUUUUAGAAAUGGAGAAGUUUUCCUCGAAGGAGACAGCAUCGAGUAGAGAAAUGUUACUUUGUUAAUCAGAAGAGAAACAAGGAUGAUUCAGAUAUUAGGAUCUAGCAGACUUUAUGACUUAAUUACUCAGUUGAGCAUUUUGUUCCAUGGAAUAAAGUCUGCAUGAGAUUAUUGUCUCAGAUUAUUUUA